UUUCAGCUCCCCUGCUAGCGCACGAGUAUGCAACCGACGUUAGCUCACGCAACCGACGUACAACGUCUGGUCAAACUCCUCACGCCGCAUGUCCGUGUUGGGCUUGCAUUGUGCUUUGUGUUUCAAGAGAGAGAGAGAGAGAGAGAGAGGAGGGCUGAUUUGGGGGAGGAGGUCAACCACCGGUGCUUGGCAUCUUGGGUGAGGAUCGAUUUUGGCGAGGUGGUCGUUGGAGAGGAGGCGCCGACUUUCAGGUGGAACGUCGUCCUUCUGUCCGUGAUCUGCCGCCGCAUCACCCAUGUCUUCGUGUGUUGCACCUGCUUCCUGCUCCAUCCCACGGGCCGGACGGUCUUGGCCUGCGACGAGUCAAUGGCCAACUGACAGCGACACAUGGAGCCUGAAGGAGCAGGCGGUGGGGGGAGCUGCAGGAGGCCAACAAGGCCCUCGCCACCGCCGCCCAUGACGCACUCCGACGGUGCUAGGCGGGAAUGUCUGUCGCGGCCAUCUUCCUUAACCGGCCAUGGUCUGCAUCCCAUCCUACCCCUGCUCUCUCUCAGACGGAUUAGAAAUUGGAUAUGGCUCAUUUGGGGUUAAUUCAAUUUCCGAGAAGUAGAACUGUGAUUCAUUCUCAGACAACUUUUCUUUUUGUCGCACUUCCUGGGCUGUCUCUUCGGCGAUGCAGCAAACAAAGGAGAGGACGAGUCUGCAGUGCAAGGUCAGUUUGAGCAAGCUUGAAAAUACACACCAUAUUAUCAUGCACAUGCUGUGCAAGCUGCCGGACCGAACUGUAAUUGAACUCUGAAGGCGGGUUCGACCUGUAGCGUUGUAUUAGUACAUCCAGCCAACAUAUAAUUAUGCAAAAGUUCACUUUGUCUGUCCAGUUCAGAUUCUUCUCUAUUUCUCCGGUUCCUACUUAUUUCGGAUGCUGGGUAAUGUGCUUUGUUUGUUGAAUUGCUAACGUUCCAAUCCUUCAAUUCUAGAGAAGAAUUUUGAGGAUUUCGUUCAAUCAACUGGUAAUAUGGUAAAGCUAGAAAUGAUCUCAAAUGUUUCUCAACAUAUGCACUAAAAAUAUGUAAAUUGUUGCUCCAAAAAUUACAGGGGAGCACUUAACUGUUACGCUCACAAUCCUAGGAAAACUAUUUUUUUUGUAAUUAUCCUUUUUGUCGUUAGUAUUCCUCAAGCAACGUAUAAUGUAUAUGCACAUCUCAAUCACUAAUUGCGGUAUGCUCUGCAAAUGUGUUCUGGUCAUCAUGAUUUUCUGGUAGAUUAAUUAACCUUUUCUUUUUCUCUGUUUAUACCGAAAAAGGCUCACGCCCCGCUUUAUAGAUAAAGCCAAUGCCAAAGCGAACAUCCACAAGGAUCACACAGCCACAAACACACACAAGAUCCACACACACCCACAGACGCGGCACACGAAGGCAAAAGGGUUAAUGCUGAGGGCACAACUCAACAAGCCCAACACACACAACCAAAAAGGCACACACGCCAAGAAGCCAACCACUAGUCGGGCUCCGGGGGUGGCGGCGGGAGCGGAGGCGCCAGGCGGAAGGCCAACGAACGGAGGUCGGAGAGUAGUCUGUCGAUGGCGUCCCGAUCCGGAGGGCGGCUAAGCGGCCGCCAGAGCUGCAAGUAACCACACAUUUUAAAGAUGGAGUCAGUCGCACGUCGAAGGGGCACCUUCUGAAUCACAAGCCUAUUGCGAACCGUCCACAGGGUCCAGGCCAGCACCCCGACGCACAGCCAUCUAAUAUGCCUGUCGCGAGGGGGGGAGGCCUGAAUUUCGGCGAGCAAGUCAGGGAAGUUAGUAUUACACCACUGUCCACCAACCGUUUCACGGAAACACGACCAAAGGAACUGAGCCGUGCAGCACGAGAAGAAGAUGUGAUUAGCAUCCUCAACCGUGGCACAUAGGGGGCACAUUCCAUCACCCGGGCCAUGGCGCCUGAGGACCUCCACGCCGAAAUUAUAGUUUUUGUUGUUGAAAUCUGCAUCCCUUAUAAAUUAUGAAGUAUGGUCUGCAAGAAACUGUUCUAGAGCAGCCACGACAAUUAAUACUCAGCAUUGAGCGCAUCUACAGUAUAUUGGUUAUGUUAAUCGUGUGGACAUGCUAGAUUUCAUGCUGCUGACAGUUUCUUGCAACCAUAUUAUCAGAAGUAUCAUGUUGUGGCUUAUUUACCUGGGACUAGCUUCUCAUGUACUCUCUCCGUAGAGAAAUAUAAGAGCGUUUGGAUCACUACUUUAGUGAUCUAAAUGCUCUUAUAUUUCUUUACAGAGGGAGUAAUAUCCUUUUAGUAACGGUCUUCCAACUUCUGUGCAUUACAAAAAGGAGCAGACCUCAUUUAUAUUUGAAUGAUAAGGUGUUUUUCCUGGCAAAGAGACAAUUGCACUGCUAGAUAAAUGCUCAACACCUAAAUUUGAUAUGGAGUUUUUCUAUUCUACAAGUUAAAAUUAUCGAUAUUGUUCAAUUUAUCUGAAUGCUAACUCUAGGUAAGAGGCACAUUUAUUCUCAGCAAUUUAAACAGUACUACACCAAGUUUAUUUGCAGUAGAUACAAACAAGAAUAUACAUGAAGAUUGACUUUCUUUCUACAUGUUUUGUAUUUCAUCUGCUAACCUCUGUAGCAAUUUUUUCGUUGACCACAAUUUCUGUAGUCUGUAACAAUUUUUAUUCGCGAGUAUGUUCAUAUCAGUCAAUAUAAUGCAUCUCGCACUUAUUUACCUAGAAGGUAAUUGCCGCAAAAUUUAUGAAGUAAUAUUGGUUGUGUGCAGCAAUAAUAUUGUCACUCUCUGUUGCUCCUUUCAAACGUUGUAAUUGUUGAAAACUUUCAUGAAUGAUAAUCAUGAUAUAACCGUAAUGUACACUUGCAAAAUUUGAUGAAAUAGUAUGGUCUCACGUGCUUUGCACAAAAAAGAGAGCGGCAACAGGAGAUUCGUGUGGCUGUUACAUGGGAAAGAAGGAUGGCGUCGGGAGAAGGUGGAUGUGCAGAAAUGGCAGCAGAUCGUGGCCAUGGGGAGGUUUGUAGUGGGGUCGGAGUUCCAUGGCUUCCUCGUGCUCCCUGUCAAGUUUCUGGUGGAGAUGCCUCAUUACUGCACCAGUGCCAGCCUACUUUCUCUCGGAUGCCAUAGCAACUACAAGUCUUGGACACGAUGGAUAGGUCAAAUGGGGAGGUCCGAAGGUGUAGCUCAAGUGUAUCUGUAUUUGUGUCUCAUAAUUGUCCAGGAACUUUGAUUUUUUCAAUAUCUGUAUCUGGUUAUAAACCCAUAGUGAUGUACAUUGGGAAUGUUUGUGGAGGCUACAAAUUUAACCAAAUCUAUGAAGUUUAUGUGUACUUUGUUACAAAUAU